AGCAGCCGCGGUAAUUCCAGCUCCAAUAGCGUAUAUUAAAGUUGUUGCAGUUAAAAGCUCGUAGUUGAAUUUCGGGAUUGACACAUCGGUCGUGCCUUAAGGGGUAUGAACUGGUGUAGUCAAUUUCUCACCUUCUGGAGAACCGCAAUGCCCUUAAUUGGGUGUCGCGGGGAACCAGGACCUUUACUUUGAAAAAAUUUAGAGUGUUUAAAGCAGGCAUUUUGCUUGAAUACAUUAGCAUGGAAUAAUAAAAUAGGACGGCAUGAUUCUAUUUUGUUGGUUUCUAGGAUCACCGUAAUGAUUAAUAGGGAUAGUUGGGGGCAUUAGUAUUCAAUUGUCAGAGGUGAAAUUCUUGGAUUUAUUGAAGACUAACUACUGCGAAAGCAUUUGCCAAGGAUGUUUUCAUUAAUCAAGAACGAAAGUUAGGGGAUCGAAGACGAUCAGAUACCGUCGUAGUCUUAACCAUAAACUAUGCCGACUAGGAAUCAGACGAUGUUAAUUUUUUUCAAUGACUCGUUUG
rnacentral:rRNA from 1 species